rnacentral:rRNA from 1 species
UACAGAGGUCUCAAGCGUUGUUCGGAAUCACUGGGCUUAAAGGGCGCGUAGGCGGCCGAGCGGGUCACGGGUGAAAUCCUCCAGCUUAACUGGAGAACUGCCCUUGAUACCACUGCGGCUCGAGGAAGGAAGGGGUCAUGGGAACUGUCGGUGGAGCGGUGAAAUGCGUUGAUAUCGACAGGAACGCCGGUGGCGAAAGCGCAUGACUGGUCCUUUUCUGACGCUGAGGCGCGAAAGCCAGGGGAGCAAACGGG